AUUGAACGCUGGCGGCAUGCUUUACACAUGCAAGUCGAACGGUAACAGGUUAAGCUGACGAGUGGCGAACGGGUGAGUAAUGCAUCGGAACGUGCCCGGUCGUGGGGGAUAACGCAGCGAGAGCUGCGCUAAUACCGCAUACGAUCUGAGGAUGAAAGCGGGGGACCGUAAGGCCUCGCGCGAUCGGAGCGGCCGAUGUCAGAUUAGGUAGUUGGUGGGGUAAAGGCUCACCAAGCCAACGAUCUGUAGCUGGUCUGAGAGGACGACCAGCCACAGUGGGACUGAGACACGGCCCAGACUCCUACGGGAGGCAGCAGUGGGGAAUUUUGGACAAUGGGCGAAAGCCUGAUCCAGCAAUGCCGCGUGCAGGAAGAAGGCCUUCGGGUUGUAAACUGCUUUUGUACGGAGCGAAAAGGUCUCCUCUAAUACAGGGGGCUCAUGACGGUACCGUAAGAAUAAGCACCGGCUAACUACGUGCCAGCAGCCGCCGUAA
rnacentral:rRNA from 1 species